AGCCCGAUGGUGUAGUGGUCAAGCAUAAGAGCCUCUGGAUUGGGUCAUAACCCAAGGAGGGAGCUCCAGACGCAGGUUCGAAUCCUGCUCGGGCUA
rnacentral:tRNA from 1 species